UAAAGGGCUAGAGCAGUGAUGGAUGCCGCGUCUUGGGUUUCGCGACCCUUCCACUCUGCCCAUUGAUCGGAGCUCCAGGUAGGCCGCUUCGCCUCUCUCCACCCUCGCAAGGUAAGUUUGUUUAGGUAGGGCUUUUCUUUGCGUUAGGAGUAAGACAGAGAUUUGGAAAGCGAAGCUGCUUGCAACGAGCUAAGAGGUAUGCUGGAGGCGAUCAAGAAAUCGUGUUGAAACUCUCAACGCUUGAAGACACCUCUUUUCGAUUGCAACGCAAAAGGGAGCCAGUAACACAAACAACUCAAACAAGCAAAGUGCAAGACAACGGGCCAAGGAACUCUCAACGCGAAGGGAAACUCACCGAUGUGGACAACGCUGUUUGAAUACGAACAAAACUAACGAUCAACGAUACUUAUUUUCACGUUGCCAGGUUCGCGUGUGUUUCGAUUUGUUCUAAUUUCUUGUCAUGAAGAAGCCAAGUGACAUGCUGGUGCUGCUCAACGACGAUAAGAACUGAAAAACUCCCAUGUCACAGUGUGUGCCAAGAAGAGAAGAGAUUGGAGAGAUUUUGUGUCAACGUUUUGGAGCUUUGAGUUGUGUUGUUGCUGCGCUCAACACAAGAUCUGCGAGCUGAGAAACAACGUUGGGAAACUGCGAUCUUCAGAACUUAAAUCCAGCUGAAGUUCUACAUGACAAUGGUCCAACCUCAAUGAAAACAACGAUCAGGGCCGGUCAAGGAUCAGCGACGGAUCAAGUCCACUCUCACCUCGCAAGGUAAGUUCGUUUAGAGUAAGACAACGAAACAAGAGAGAUUUGCUGGAGGCAAGAAAGCGAAGCUGCUUGCAACGAGCUAAGAGGUAUUCUCUAGGCUAGAGGCGAUUAAGAAUUCGUGUUGAAACUCUCAACGUUUGAAGACGCUCUUUCUUUUCGAUGCUAUGCUCAACGCACACAGUCCAAGUUAAUAUGAUAUGCUUGAUCAAACAACUCAAACAAGCUAAGUGCAAAACAACGGUCCAAGGAACUCUCAACGCGAAGGGAAACUUGUUGUCAGGUUUGUGUGUGUUUCAAUUUGUUCUAAGUUCUUGUCAUGAAAAAGACAAGUGACAUGUUGGUGCUGCUCAACCACGAUAAGAACUAAAACAUGCUGUGUCCAAGAAGAAAAAUGCUACGAGAUUGGAGAGAUUCUAUGUCAACAUUUUGUAGAGAUUGUCAGCGAUGUUGCUGCUGCUCAACGCAAGACCUGGGAGCUGAGAAACAACGUAAGGCAUCUGCAAUCUUCAAAACUUCAAUCCAGUUGAAGACGUACAUGACAAUGGUCCAACCUCAACGAAAACAACGAUCAUGAAAACUCUGGCUGUCCAACGAUAUGGAAGUCGAAGUUUAACAGGUUCGUGAGCUGUUUGUUCUAACCAAAACGUUUGUUGAAAAUGUACAUGACAAUGGUCCAACCUCAAUGAAAGCAACGAUCAUGAUCCGUCGCUGAUCCUUGACAGGCCCGGUCCACUCUCGCACCUCUCCACCUCGCAAGGUAAGUUCAGUGAGUAAGACAACGAAACAAGAGAGAUUUGCCGGAGACAAGAAAUAUGCUCUAGAAUGAUCAACGAUAAAAGAGAGGCUAGAAGCAAUCAAGAAUUUGUUGAAACUCUCAACGUUUGAAGACGCUCUUUCUUUUCGAUUGAGAUUGUCGACGGGGUAUGCUCAACGCAAAAGGGAGCCAGUGACACAGUCAAGCUAAGAUGAUAUGCUCAAACAACUCAAACAAACUAAGUGCAAACAACGGCCCAAGAAACUUUCAACGGGAAGGGAAACUAACGAUCAUUGAAAGUUGACAAACUUAGCUUCAUGUUGUCAGACAAGUGACAUGUUGGUGCUGUUCAACCACGAUAAGAACUAAAAAACGCUGUGUCCAAGAAGAAAAAUGCUACGAGAUUGGAGAGAUUCUGUGUCAACAUUUUGGAGAGAUUGUCAGCGAUGUUGCUGCUGCGCUCAACGCAAGACCUGCGAGCUGAGAAACAACGUUGGGCAUCUGCGACUUCAGAACUUCAAUCCAGUUGAAGACGUUCAUGACAAUGGUCCAACCUCAAUGAAAACAACGAUCAUGAAAACUCCGGCUGUUCAAGGAUAUGGAAGUCGAAGUUUGACAGGUGCUUGUUCUAACCAAAAUGCUUGUUUUAACGAACUGAGAGGCUUCAACCCCAGGUCUAUGUUCUCUUUAGUUUUCUUUAUAGUUUCUCUAACUUCCUUUUGUUUUUGCAACGCCAUGAGAUUGCAACGGUGACAUAGAACAAUGUUCCAUAGCGAUAGGUAGAUGGAAGUGUACGCUUUGGCAGUGGCAAAACGAGACGACCUACACAAAGCUACCCUGUGGUUUCCUUGAAAAGAAAUGAAUACAUUUACAAA